UACGGGGGGAGCAAGCGUUGUUCGGAUUUACUGGGCGUAAAGGGCGCGUAGGCGGUCAGCACAAGUCCAGUUGUGAAAUCUCCGGGCUUAACUCGGAAAGGUCAACUGAUACUGUGCGACUAGAGUGCAGAAGGGGCAACUGGAAUUCUCGGGUGUAGCGGUGAAAUGCGUAGAUAUCGAGAGGAACACCUGCGGCGAAGGCGGGUUGCUGGGCUGACACGUGACGCUGGAUGCGCGAAAGCCAGGGGAGCGAACGGG
rnacentral:rRNA from 1 species